UAAUUAAGCGGAGGAAAAGAAACCAACCAGGAUUCCCUCAGUAAGGGCGACUGAAGCGGGAUGAGCUCACAGUGUGAAUCGGCGCUGGAUAAUUUUUGGCGUUGAAUUGUGGUCUGUGGACGUGGGCGUUCAUUGUGCCGGGCCAAGUUCCUUGGAAAAGGACAGCCGAGAGGGUGAUACUCCCGUUAUCCUGGCCAUCGAGCCCGUGUCGAAGAGUCGAGUUGUUUGGGAUUGCAGCUCUAAGUGGGUGGUAAAUUCCAUCUAAGGCUAAAUAUUGGUGGGAGACCGAUAGCGCACAAGUACCGUGAGGGAAAGAUGCAAAGGACUUUGAAAAGAGAGUUAAAGAGUACCUGAAAUUGCUGAAACGGAAGCGAAGGAAACCAGUGUCAAGCAAUGUCAUACUUCCCCCUCCGCUUGCGGCGUGGGGCGCUGUGGCUAGCGUCUGCCAGGUUUGGUUGGAUUGACUGGAUGCCACUAUGUGGUUUGGUUGGCUCGACUGAUAAUCUGGCGAAAUGGUUUUCUUUCCCCCG
rnacentral:rRNA from 1 species